rnacentral:rRNA from 1 species
GUUACACAGGUGCUGCAUGGCCGUCGUCAGCUCGUGUCGUGAGAUGUUUGGUUAAGUCCAGCAACGAGCGCAACCCCUGUUGCCAGUUACCAGCACGUGAAGGUGGGGACUCUGGCGAGACUGCCCAGAUCAACUGGGAGGAAGGUGGGGACGACGUCAGGUCAGUAUGGCCCUUAUGCCCAGGGCUGCACACGUACUACAAUGCCCAGUACAGAGGGGGCCGAAGCCGCGAGGCGGAGGAAAUCCUAAAAACUGGGCCCAGUUCGGACUGUAGGCUGCAACCCGCCUACACGAAGCCGGAAUCGCUAGUAAUGGCGCAUCAGCUACGGCGCCGUGAAUACGUUCCCGGGUCUUGUACACACCGCCCGUCACAUCAUGGAAGCCGGUCGCACCCGAAGUAUCUGAAGCCAACCGCAAGGAGGCAGGGUCCUAAGGUGAGACUGGUAACUGGGAUGAAGUCGUAACAAGGUAGCCGUAGGGGAACCUGCGGUUGGAUCACCUC